GACGAACGCUGGCGGCGUGCUUAACACAUGCAAGUCGAACGGAAAGGCCCUGCUUUUGUGGGGUGCUCGAGUGGCGAACGGGUGAGUAACACGAGAGUAACCUGCCCUUGACUUUGGGAUAACUUCAGGAAACUGGGGCUAAUACCGGAUAGGAGCUCCUGCUGCAUGGUGGGGGUUGGAAAGUUUCGGCGGUUGGGGAUGGACUCGCGGCUUAUCAGUUUGUUGGUGGGGUAGUGGCUUACCAAGGCUUUGACGGGUAGCCGGCCUGAGAGGGUGACCGGCCACAUUGGGACUGAGAUACGGCCCAGACUCGUACGGGAGGCAGCAGGGGGGAAUAUUGCACAGUGGGCCGGAGCCGGAUGCAGCAACGCCGCGUGCGGGAUGACGGCCUUCGGGUUGUGAACCGCUUUCGCCUGUGACGAAGCGUGAGUGACGGUAAUGGGUAAAGAAGCACCGGCUAACUACGUG
rnacentral:rRNA from 1 species